rnacentral:lncRNA from 1 species
UUGGGGACCUGGAGACCGUUGACCAGGCUGAAGGCUGACACAGGGCACCUCGGAAGGCCCUGUCCCAGGGUCAUGUGGCCACCACUGGUGCUGCUGUUUCUGCUGCUUCCUGCUGCCCAUGGCGCCCCCCACCCAGCUGCCGACCUCCAGGAAAACUUUCCAAGUGUACUCGAAGAAAUUCAAACUGAAGGAGACAGAGGCAUGUGGAGGGAAGACAACCUGUUUGCUGGCUCCCGCUGUCCUCCUGGCUCAUAAGGUGGCUUCUAUGUGGUCCAGAAGCUGGGGCUGAGGACCUGUAGGCUCAUGAGGGCCUGCCAGGCACAGGAUCGGGAGUUUCCCACUUCCUCCUUCCGGUCUCCUCCAGGGCCCUUCAGCUGCUGAAGGGGCUGGGGGUGGACACCAGUAUCCUAGCAGGGGACAUAUAUGAAACUCACCAGACCUACCUGAAGCACCAUUUCAAAAUAAAAGGAUUUUUUUUUCAA